rnacentral:tRNA from 1 species
AGGGGAUUGGUCUAGUGGUAUGACAAGGGUCUCCAAAACCUUUGGUGGGAGUUCGAUUCUCUCAUCCCCUGCCA